CCUACGGGUGGCUGCAGUAGGGAAUAUUGCUCAAUGGCGGAAACCCUGAAGCAGCAACGCCGCGUGGAGGAUGAAGGUUUUCGGAUUGUAAACUCCUUUUGUUAGAGAAGAUAAUGACGGUAUCUAACGAAUAAGCACCGGCUAACUCCGUGCCAGCAGCCGCGGUAAUACGGAGGCUGCAAGCGUUACUCGGAAUCACUGGGCGUAAAGCGCGCGUAGGCGGGAUAGCAAGUCAGAUGUGAAAUCUUAUGGCUUAACCAUAGAACUGCAUUUGAAACUGUUAUUCUAGAGUAUGGGAGAGGUAGGUGGAAUUCUUGGUGUAGCGGUAAAAUGCGUAGAGAUCAAGAGGAAUACUGAUUGCGAAGGCGACCUGCUAGAACAUAACUGACGCUGAUGCGCGAAAGCGUGGGGAGCAAACAGGAUUAGAUACCCCAGUAGUC
rnacentral:rRNA from 1 species